UACAGAGGUCUCAAGCGUUGUUCGGAUUCAUUGGGCGUAAAGGGCGCGUAGGCGGCGGGGUCAGUCGGGUGUGAAAUCUUGGGGCUUAACCCCGAAACGGCACUCGAAACUGCCCGGCUGGAGGGCCGGAGAGGAGAUCGGAAUUCACGGUGUAGCAGUGAAAUGCGUAGAGAUCGUGAGGAAGACCCGUGGCGACGGCGGAUCUCUGGACGGAUAACUGACGCUGAGGCGCGAAGGCCAGGGGAGCAAACGGG
rnacentral:rRNA from 1 species